UACGUAGGUGGCGAGCGUUGUCCGGAAUUACUGGGUGUAAAGGGCGCGUAGGCGGGGAUGCAAGUCAGAUGUGAAAUACCGAGGCUUAACUUCGGGGCUGCAUCUGAAACUGUAUUUCUUGAGUGUCGGAGAGGAAAGUGGAAUUCCUAGUGUAGCGGUGAAAUGCGUAGAGAUUAGGAGGAACACCAGUGGCGAAGGCGACUUUCUGGACGAUAACUGACGCUGAGGCGCGAAAGCGUGGGGAGCAAACAGGAUUAGAUACCCUGGUAGUCCACGCCGUAAACGAUGGAUACUAGGUGUAGGGGGUAUCGACCCCCUCUGUGCCGCAGUUAACACAAUAAGUAUCCCACCUGGGGAGUACGGCCGCAAGGUUGAA
rnacentral:rRNA from 1 species